GGGCGGCGGCAGCGGAGGCGCCAGGCGGGAGAGGGUCCCGCCGAGGCGGCCAUGGCGGCGCUGCGCUGCCUCCUGCUGCUGCUGUGCGGAGCCGCGCUGGGGCCCGCCGUGCACCUCGACUUCGCCGAGCACCGCAGCCAGGCGGCCAAGAUCAAGGUCAACCCCCGCGGAAACCUCUGGGCCACAGGACACUUCAUGGGGAAGAAGAGCGUCACGGGCACCCCGCGCCUGGAGUCACCCGAAGAGCCCGCAGUGCCGAUGGUUUUUGGUCCCUCGCUCAGAGCCUUGCUGGAGGACAUGAUGGAACUGCUCACCCGUGAGCUCCUGAAAAUACUCUUGCAAGAAAGACUUUUGGAUGAGAACCAAGGAAAAUAUGACCUUGCUGAUCAGGGAAGGCACAAGUGAAGCAGAGCUGCAGGGAGGUCAGCCUGAGUGGUAUAUUCGAGCACCUUCCUGACUUGAUUCCUUCAGAUUAAGGUAAACUGAGGCUCUCCUAGGGAACUAGUCCCAGUGGGAUAGAGAGGGAUAGAAGCUGGAUGUGGCCGAAGACAUCCUGCUCUCCUCAUGUUGUGCUGUCCACUGCAGUGCUGCAGCUUGCACUCCUUAGAUGCAGCUGCAAGGGAGGAGAAAGCUCUGCAGGUCCUGGACUUUUUGUCAACCAGCCUUGGGGAGCCUUUGAGGAGGAGGAUAUUUGCUGCAUUAGCUAUCUGAAAUGUGAGAGCUGGAUGUGUGAUCCUCGUGGAUCUCCUCCAUGUAGGAGACUGGGCUUUUGACAAAGGUGCUGGAGAAGUAUUUUUCAAACUGAAGGAGCAGAGCAGUGGAGGAUGGAGUCUGUAGGCUUGGCCGUGCACGGCAAACGGAGGAGAUCAUAAUCCUUGUGGGUUACUGUAGCAACAUCACUUUUUAUUUAUUCUUUCUGUAAUACUGUUAAUAGUGAUUGCUUGUAUGAAAAGCAGAGCCACCCUGUAUAUUUCCUGUAUGUUUUCUGCUUUCUUGAUAUCUGACGUGCCCCUGCAAAUAAAAUUAGCUCUUUGCAAACA